rnacentral:miRNA from 8 species
CGGAUUAACAGCUGGGAUCGGA